CGUGUAGGCGGCUAGGUAGGUCCGUUGUGAAAACUCGAGGCUCAACCUCGAGACGUCGAUGGAAACCAUCUGGCUAGAGUCCGGAAGAGGAGAGUGGAAUUCCUGGUGUAGCGGUGAAAUGCGCAGAUAUCAGGAAGAACACCCGUGGCGAAGGCGGCUCUCUGGGACGUGACUGACGCUGAGACGCGAAAGCGUGGGGAGCGAACA
rnacentral:rRNA from 1 species